rnacentral:rRNA from 1 species
CUACGGGAGGCAGCAGUGGGGAAUUUUGGACAAUGGGCGAAAGCCUGAUCCAGCCAUGCCGCGUGAGUGAAGAAGGCCUUCGGGUUGUAAAGCUCUUUCGGUCGGGAAGAAAUAGUUGUGGCUAAUAUCCGCAAUGAAUGACGGUACCGGCAUAAGAAGCACCGGCUAACUACGUGCCAGCAGCCGCGGUAAUACGUAGGGUGCAAGCGUUAAUCGGAAUUAUUGGGCGUAAAGGGUGCGCAGGCGGUUGUAUAAGUCAGAUGUGAAAUCCCUGGGCUUAACCUAGGAAUUGCGUUUGAAACUAUAUGACUAGAGUGUGACAGAGGGGAGUGGAAUUCCAUGUGUAGCAGUGAAAUGCGUAGAGAUGUGGAAGAACACCGAUGGCGAAGGCAGCUCCCUGGGUUAACACUGACGCUCAUGCACGAAAGCGUGGGGAGCAAACAGGAUUAGAAACCCCUGUAGUCC